rnacentral:rRNA from 1 species
GAUGAACGCUGGCUACAGGCUUAACACAUGCAAGUCGUGGGGAGACGGCAUUAUGUGCUUGCACAUUCUGGACGUCGACCGGCGCACGGGUGAGUAUCGCGUAUCCAACCUGCCCCUUACUUGGGGAUACCCCGUUGAAAGACGGCCUAAUACCCGAUGUGUUUCAUUGACGGCAUCCGAUAUGAAACAAAGGUUUUCCGGUAAGGGAUGGGGAUGCGUCUGAUUAGCUUGUUGGCGGGGCAACGGCCCACCAAGGCGACGAUCAGUAGGGGUUCUGAGAGGAAGGUCCCCCACAUUGGAACUGAGACACGGUCCAAACUCCUACGGGAGGCAGCAGUGAGGAAUAUUGGUCAAUGGACGCAAGUCUGAACCAGCCAAGUAGCGUGCAGGAUGACGGCCCUAUGGGUUGUAAACUGCUUUUAUGUGGGAAUAAAGUGGCGCACGUGUGCGCCAUUGCAUGUACCUCAUGAAUAAGGACCGGCUAAUUCCGUGCCAGCAGCCGCGGUAAUACGGAAGGUCCGGGCGUUAUCCGGAUUUAUUGGGUUUAAAGGGAGUGUAGGCGGUCUGUUAAGCGUGUUGUGAAAUUUAGGUGCUCAACAUUUAACUUGCAGCGCGAACUGUCAGACUUGAGUACACGCAGCGCAGGCGGAAUUCAUGGUGUAGCGGUGAAAUGCUUAGAUAUCAUGAGGAACUCCGAUCGCGAAGGCAGCCUGCGGGAGUGUUACUGACGCUUAAGCUCGAAGGUGCGGGUAUCGAACAGG